AAAGAAAGAGAAAAAUUCUAGCAUACUUUUUUGUGGGUUUACGUCAUGUUUGUCGAGGCUUAGAGACGUUUGUCAGCCAGUUGUGUAGUUCUACGUCUAUAUAUGUAGAUACUCACAUACCGUACAUAUACACAUACACAUAUAUUAUGUUCAAUUUUGUGCCUAUGCCUGUGUAUGUGUCUGUGUCUAUAUCUGUGCCUGUAGUUGUGUGUUUGUCUUGGCGCUAGUUUAGUUCUCGUGAAACUUCAGCGAUUCUCAAAUUUCCAAAGCAUGCCUACAACAACAACAACAAAUACAACUUGAUGUUUAUAUAGAUGAGACUUAAAAAAAAUACAUAACUGUACAAAAUAACUGUGCUGUGCUCGCCUUGAGUUAACUGUCUUGUCGAAUGCAAGCUCAACAAGCUGCACUUUGCCUCAUUCCCCUAACUCGCUGAGCUGUUUGUUCAACUUUACCUUCAAGCUAAGACAAAACAAAUUUGCAAUUCGUAGUAAAAAGCGAAAACAUAACCCAAAAAAAAAAAUAACGAAACAUAACUGUAAA